CACUAGUACUAGAGGAAGGAGGGUCCCUAAACCUUAGUUAGACUGAUAUAGUCUCUCUACUACCUCACCCAUCCACUAGUACUAGAGGAAGGAGGGUCCCUAAACCUUAGUUAGACUGAUAUAGUCUCUUUACUACCUCACCCAUCCACUAGUACUAGAGGAAGGAGGGUUCCACUAUGAAAAAGGCCUAUCAGUACCUCCACAGUGGUAAGGUGGGCCGAGUUCUUCUUCACCAGGAGGAGGGAAAAGGAUUGGUCAUUUUUGAAGGCCGAUAUUCAGCCCAGCCAAUCAAUCAGCUCCUACCACUCUGCUUGGGAACUUGUAUCCAACAACGGAUCAGUAGAGACGGCUGGAUGUCCUUGCAUCGCUGGCCUUGGAAAGUCAUGCAGCCUCCAUUUUGUGGAAGCAGAACUGCCGUGUUAAUGUGGGGAAUCAGUAAGUAUCCUGUCCAAUCUCAUGUUGAGGAAGCAAGGCAGGUUUAUGGAGUCCAGGUGAGUAGGGGAUAACAUUUAUUUAAACAUGUCAGCAUCACAUUUCUUUAGUGUUAUUAGUCUUUAGUGUUAUUGUUUUUUCUGGGUGAAUAAGGUUUGUAAAAUAUCAUUGUGGUUGGGGGUAAUGCCUAAAGUAUGGUAAGUAUAAGUGGCCUCAUCUCAUUGGGAACAAUAUCAAGGUAAGUUUAUGAUGAAACUUGCAUGUGUUUUGAUUAAGUUGAUCACAUAGUCCUCAGUCACACAAUUGUUAAUAAUGGGAUUUUCUCUGAAUGUCUUUUUGUAACAAACAUUCUAUCACAGGUGCAGGGUGUCCAGUGGGCUAACUGGCAUAGCCUGCACAGAUGAGCAGCGACAAUGGAAUGCAGGGACUCGGAGGAACCUUGAGCCAAAGCGGAUAAACAGCAUUGACUUCACACACCAUAAGGCCAGUGACCAACAUGCAGAAAAGCGUCCAGAAUGUCCAAGCCUGCCUCCCACCCCUGCCUCCCACGCCUGCAUUUCCACCGUCACGUGCAUCAGCAAUUAUUGGACUCAUCUGGACUCAAUCACCUCUGUCAUUACCUCCCCUAUAUCUGUCUGGUUCCUCGCUCUAUUCCCUGCUGCAGCAUUCAUUGUCAUAUGUCCUUGUUUACCCGUGUGCUGACGCUGGUCCUGGUUUGUUACCUGUCUGUUCCUUAUUAAAUGUCAACUCCCCGUA